GGACUACUGGGGUAUCUAAUCCUGUUUGCUCCCCUUGCUCUCGCGCCUCAGCGUCAGGUGUAAGCUAGAAAACCGCUUUCGCCACCGGUGUUCUUCCACAUAUCUACGCAUUUCACCGCUACACGUGGAAUUCCGUUUUCUCCGCCAACCCUCUAGAUUCACAGUUUCAAAUGCAGCUCCGAGGUUGAGCCCCGGAAUUUCACAUCUGACUUACAAAUCCGCCUACGCGCCCUUUACGCCCAAUAAUUCCGAUUAAUGCUUGCACCCUACGUAUUACCGCGGCUGCUGGCAC
rnacentral:rRNA from 1 species